CUGACUUGGGUUUUAUUUGGGGGGGGUGUGUAUGUGUGUGUGUUUUAAGUCGAGGAAGGACGGGGGGGAGUCUCGGCGCGGGAUCUCCUAGAGCUGCAAGCCAGGGAUACCCCCUCCUUUACUUGGUUUCCCUCUUCCUCCUCGUCUGCCCCGGCACCCCCAGCAACCUCGGAGCAGAGAACAGGAUUUCCAAAUUAGCAUUACGCUGCAAUCAUUGGGCUUUGCUGGAGGAGGCAGACCGACCCCGGCGUGCUUUUCUUUCCUCCCCUCUUCUUCCCCUCCCCCCAUUCGGAAGGACUUUUUUCUCCCCCUCUACUUUUUUUUUAAUUGUCCGGUCCGCGUCAAAUCCCCCUUCCCCCCAUACUUUCCCCAAACUCGAGUGAGUCGCUUUCUACAUUCAUUUUUUUUUUCUUUAUUAAAGGUCCUGGGACUGGCGGCGACCAAUCAGCGCGCAGCUUCCAUUUGGUCGCUUCUACCCCAAAGCACCCGGUGCUUCUUCUCAGUUACACUAUUACGGGGGGAGGAAGGGAGGGAGCAAUGGGUGUUUUUUUUUUCCCCUUCUCUUCCUUCCUUCCUCGCUCCCUCCCUGCCUCCUCCUGGCUGAAGAGGAGGCUGCUUGUCUUGCUUCUGCUUCACGGUGGUUCGUCUCAUAUUGGGGGGUAUUUGGGGGGUUUGUAAUUGGGCCGUGGUGCGGUAAUUGGCUGAUUCAGGGCGCCAGCGCCCUUGAGCCAAUCAGCGCGAAGCUUCUAUGGGGCUUGAGUUAUUAGACGCGGAUCUCCAAACAUCCGUCAUCAGACAAGCCAAGGAGAGGCCAACAUUCAGGGAGCCAUUUUUCUGCCAUGGAAUUAAAUGGCCAAGUGGGUUUUCCUUUGUUCCAAAAGGGGGAACGCUUUUCCUUUGACUCCACCAUCCAGUGCAGGAUUGCCCCGUGUCCUGUCCAAUGUUGGUCACCAAAGCUAAAGGACCGAUGGAAGAAGGAAGACUUCAUUUUUUUAAGUGAUUUUGGAUUUUGCUUUUUUCUCCUUAUGACCUGGAAUCCAUCUUUGUCUUGUAUAACUAGGUCAUAGCCCACCAUUAAUGUCAGCAGUUUAAAAAUUUUGAAUCCAAAAAAACCUUAAGUAAAUAACAUAUUUAUUUACUUUUUUCCUUUUUUUUUUUUUGGCUGGGGGAGUGGGGACGGGGCUUGAGCUGUCUAAUCUGUAUCCUCUUGACUGAACAAUAAAUUUUUUAAAAUAUAUAUAUAACUUCCUCUAUUAAACACUUAAACCUGGCCAUCUUAUUAACUCCUCUCCUCUCUUAACAAGGUAAUGUUUUAAAUGUAGAGUUUUAGGAAAUAAUGAAUUCUGGCUGUUCUAAGCCAAAAAAAAUGUAAGCCAUUAAUGCUAUGUUGUUCUUUUAAAUUCUUCUCUGUUGUAAGUACCCAAUCCAUUCUGUCCUUAUUUAAGUUCAGUGUUCAUGUUAAUGUUACCUUAAUGUCCUAAUUUCUGAGCCUUCAUCUAUCUGCAUGUCUGUUUUUUUGUCUCUCCUUGUCGAAUUUCAAAACCAGAUUUCAUGCCUUUAGACGAGAUAACUUUAGGCUUUAAGAAAUGUUUACGGUUUAUGCUAGCUAGCUUUAUUUCCAAUUAAUUGAAAGAUUUUCUUUAAGCAACCCUUCUUUUGAGGGCGACAGCUCUGGUUUCUCCAGUCUUGAGGGGGGGGGGGGGAAGAGAGAAGAAAGCCCCACUCUUCUGCAGAGACUGAACUGGUCACAGGAAACUAGACUGAAACCCCUUCAAACAAGCCCUAAGCAAUUGCUUCCAAACGGCAUUAUUAAACUGGGCAGCCUUUUCUCUAGUCGUUGGGGCGAUCGGGGGGUGCGAAGGGGCUAGCUCUCCUUUGUCUCCCGUUUUGCCUGAAGCGUCUGUUUUUUACCUUUUGUCUCAGAAAUGACUCUUAAUACCCUUGCCCUAGCCAGCCCCACCGGCGAAGCCAGCCAGCCUUCGGCCGAACCUUGGGAAAAGUUUGCUGAAUUCGAAGGCGAUGAAAUUGACAUGACAUUGUAACUGACAAAAAGGUAGUGACCUUCCCCCCAGCCCCGUGAUAAUAAUAAUAAUCCCAACAAACUCCAACAAAAUGGUGGGUUUUUUUCUUACAAUAACAUCACCAAACCAACGCCCAAGUUCACCUUCCAGACUCCAUUGCGCCAAGCUGAGCACCGUCAGGAUGCCCAGAAACUCGGGGCUCACUUGGAUACCUGGGACACACACGGAAGCAGGCGGAGCCAGCCAGGGAACCCAAGAAGGGGGUCUUGCGGGCUCCACCGCUGGAAGUUCCGGGGGCCGGUUUUUUGUUCCUCCUUUUCGUGGUGGAAGGAGACAAAGAGUGACUCCUCGUGGGCCGGAGCCUGAAAACCUGGGGGAACGAGGCCGACCUUGGCCCGAGGGCCAACUGUGGGGGCCCCAAAGCUGCCUGAAGGCCUCCUAGCCCAGAGGACCGGGCCCCUCUGACUCGCCACGAGAGAUGGAAGAAAAAAUCGGGACUCUCAGCACGUCUAACGAGAGAACGAGCCCCCGGUUUCCCGCCCAGCUUGGCCAGAAGGUAGGUAGCUGCCCGUCCUAACCCACGUGUUCUGCCUCCUCCGACCUCCCCUUUUCCCCCUGAGUGGAGGCUGCUUUGAGGAGGGAAAAUAAUCCCCAAACCCGAGGGGGAGAGCUCUGGGAGCUCCUCCACAGUUGGCUGCUUCCCGGAGGCCCCGGGCCCCUCGCUGACUGAUAGCGCCGUGAACCUGCUCGGCCUGUUUUCUGCACUCCUGCCCUUCCCCUCCCCCCGCGGGGCGGUGUGCGAUCUGUUUCGUACUUGGCAGCCCAGCCCUGGGCCGGGAGCCGGUCCCCCGCCUCUUCUGCAAUCCCCAGCCUACCGUAUUUACUGGCAUAGGCACGGGCGUGGGGGGAGGGGAGGGCGAGGAUGUGACCUCUGGGAUGAUCGGCUUGGGUAGUUUGAGGGAGGCAGUUAAUCCUUGUGUCAUUACGGUAACCGUGACUUUCUCUCCCCGACUGGUCCCUAAGAAAAUGGAUGGGGGGUGGGCUGCCCAAGUUGGCCAGUUCUGAGCCUUAGGCGGGCGGUCCCUGCGUUCCUUCCCCCUCCCCCUCCCCUUUGCAGGGCCAGAAAGCAUUUGGAGAGGGAUCUGCUGAAGCCUAGUGUUUGCCUUCAUGAAUACUCUUAGCUAAUUUUGACCAGAAAAGGAAACUGAGGUUCUGGAGGCUCCUUAAGGCUCAGCCCCUCUGCACUCCCCAAGUCUUACUUUAGGUUCAGCCCCUUUGCACCCACUAAAUGUUAGCUUAAAGUUCAGACCUUCUGAACUCUCCAAGUGUUAAUUUUAAGGUUCAGACCCUCUGUACCUUCCAAGUCUUAGCUUAAGGUUCAGCCCCUCUGCACCCCCAAGUGUUAACUUUAAGGUUCAGCCCCUCUGUACCCCCAAGUGCUAACUUUAAGGUUCAGCCCCUCUGCACCCCCAAGUGCUAACUUUAAGGUUCAGACCCUCUCUCUGUACCUUCCAAGUCUUAGCUUAAGGUUCAGCCCCUCUGCACCCCCAAGUGCUAACUUUAAGGUUCAGCCCCUCUGUACCCCCAAGUGCUAACUUUAAGGUUCAGCCCCUCUGCACCCCCAAGUGCUAACUUUAAGGUUCAGACCCUCUCUCUGUACCUUCCAAGUCUUAGCUUAAGGUUCAGCCCCUCUGCACCCCCAAGUGCUAACUUUAAGGUUCAGCCCCUCAGCACCCUCAAGUGUUAACUUUAAGGUUCAGCCCCUCUGCACCCCCCAAGUGUUAACUUUAAGGUUCAGCCCCUCUCUCUGUACCUUCCAAGUCUUAGCUUAAGGUUCAGCCCCUCAGCACCCCCCAAGUGUUAACUUUAAGGUUCAGCCCCUCUGCACCCCCCAAGUGUUAACUUUAAGGUUCAGCCCCUCAGCACCCCCAAGUGCUAACUUUAAGGUUCAGCCCCUCAGCACCCCCAAGUGCUAACUUUAAGGUUCAGCCCCUCAGCACCCCCAAGUGCUAACUUUAAGGUUCAGCCCCUCUGUACCCCCAAGUGUUAACUUUAAGGUUCAGCCCCUCAGCACCCCCAAGUGUUAACUUUAAGGCUCAGCCCCUCUGCACCCCCCAAGUGCUAACUUUAAGGUUCAGCCCCUCUGCACCCCCAAGUGCUAACUUUAAGGUUCAGCCCCUCUGCACCCCCCAAGUGCUAACUUUAAGGCUCAGCCCCUCAGCACCCCCAAGUGUUAACUUUAAGGUUCAGCCCCUCUGCACCCCCCAAGUGCUAACUUUAAGGCUCAGCCCCUCUGCACCCCCCAAGUGCUAACUUUAAGGCUCAGCCCCUCUGCACCCUCCCAGUGUUAACAUUUCCUUCCUUGCCUUCCGGUGCAGCACUUGUGUAAAUCUCGUUUUCCCGGCUAGUUCCUGCUCCUUAGUGGGUGGCGUCCUUUUUGGACCAUUCUACCCUCAGGAUGAGUCCUGGGUGUUUAAAUGUUUGAGCUAAAUUGAGGAAGAGAAUAGCAUUAAAACCGGAGACUUGGAAUCAUUGGUUUAGAUCCGUAUGGCGCCUUAUCAGCCAUCUAGCCCUUCCCCCGCACACAGAUACUUAGCGUAAGCUCUGGUAACUUUGUAGCCUUCUGUGUCCACAAUUUCUUUUUAUUGAUGGAGAAGCGAACCCAGAGACCGGGAGGAUUUGCACUCGCACCCAGACGGGCCUCUUUGGCCCAUCUGUCCCCUCCCCUUGGGCCUCAGGCCUGCUUGGGCCUCCUUCCCUUGGGUGUUGGGCCCUCCUGGCUCCCGUUCGGUGGGAAUUCCCGCCCUCCCGGCUCCUCUGCUUUUCUCCCGAGGUCCCUCCCGUAAUUGGAACAUCCCGGAAUGGGGAAUCUCUGAUCCGCUGACCUCUUGGGGUCCGGGGGUGGCCCUGAGCGGCCACAAAGCCUGCCUUUCCCUGCCCCCCACCGGCUUCUAGUGGGGAGGGGCAGCUGAGAGAAUGGCCAGCUGAGGGCUUUGAAAAGCCUUCGGAAGCUUUUUACAAAUGCAAACCUCUGGUAUUCUAAUUUCGACCGUGGGAGGGGCUGCUGUGCAGCUACUGCUGACUGAGGAGGGUCCCCCUAGGGCUUUGGGGUCAGGUCUCCUUUUUAAGUAGGGCCAAAGCUGGGGAGGGGGGCGUUAAAUAUGGAAGGGGGGAGAGUUGGACCUGGAGCUGCCCCCACCCAGGAUGCGCUAGCUUGCUGAGGUUAAAGGUUAACUGGGGGUGUGGGCCCUCAGGGGGUGUGAAAUGAUUUACCCCGCCCCCGGCCUCUGAAGUGGGGACUCCGGGCCUAUCCUUUCACCACUUGUUAAUGAGGGCCCCUUUGCUGGGGAUGGGUUACUCAUAAACAAUUAAAACUAUUCCUUGCUAAACUGUGGGACGCCGCCUC